rnacentral:rRNA from 1 species
CCUACGGGAGGCUGCAGUGGGGAAUAUUGGACAAUGGGGGGAACCCUGAUCCAGCCAUGCCGCGUGUGUGAAGAAGGCCCUCGGGUUGUAAAGCACUUUCAGUGAGGAAGAACGCCUGGUGGUUAAUACCCAUCAGGAAAGACAUCACUCACAGAAGAAGCACCGGCUAACUCCGUGCCAGCAGCCGCGGUAAUACGGAGGGUGCGAGCGUUAAUCGGAAUUACUGGGCGUAAAGUGCGCGUAGGUGGCUUGAUAAGCCGGUUGUGAAAGCCCCGGGCUCAACCUGGGAACGGCAUCCGGAACUGUCAAGCUAGAGUGCAGGAGAGGAAGGUAGAAUUCCCGGUGUAGCGGUGAAAUGCGUAGAGAUCGGGAGGAAUACCAGUGGCGAAGGCGGCCUUCUGGACUGACACUGACACUGAGGUGCGAAAGCGUGGGUAGCAAACAGGAUUAGAUACCCCUGUAGUC